GGAAUAUAAGAAUCUAUUUUUUAACUUUUAACUAAAAAAAUUAAAAAUUAGCUCUUUAACAAGAGUUUUAAAAGACGGUUCUUAGUUUUUUUAAUUAAAAGUUAAGAGACGGGUUCUUAUAUUCC
rfam:Brassica oleracea var. oleracea cultivar TO1000 chromosome C4, whole genome shotgun sequence